GCCGAAGUGGUGGAAUUUGGUAGACACGCCAUCUUGAGGGGGUGGUGGGGGUAACCCCGUGCCGGUUCGAGUCCGGCCUUCGGCACCA
rnacentral:tRNA from 1 species